rnacentral:rRNA from 1 species
AUUGAACGCUGGCGGCAUGCCUUACACAUGCAAGUCGAACGGUAACAGGUCUUCGGAUGCUGACGAGUGGCGAACGGGUGAGUAAUGUAUCGGAGCGUGCCCAGUUGUGGGGGAUAACUACUCGAAAGAGUGGCUAAUACCGCAUACGACCUGAGGGUGAAAGCGGGGGAUCGCAAGACCUCGCGCAAUUGGAGCGGCCGAUAUCAGAUUAGGUAGUUGGUGGGGUAAAGGCUCACCAAGCCGACGAUCUGUAGCUGGUCUGAGAGGACGACCAGCCACACUGGGACUGCGACCCGGCCCAGACUACUACGGGAGGGAGCAGUGCGGAAUGUUGGACAAUGGGCGCAAGCCUGAUCCAGCCAUGCCGCGUGCGGGAAGAAGGCCUUCGGGUUGUAAACCGCUUUUGUCAGGGAAGAAAAGGCUCCUUCUAAUACAGGGGGCUCAUGACGGUACCUGAAGAAUAAGCACCGGCUAACUACGUGCCAGCCGCCGCCGUAACAC